rnacentral:lncRNA from 1 species
GUCUGUUCUCUCAUCUAGAGCAGGGCAGACUCAGAAAGAGGGCAGACAGGAAUGCAGAUUAGCAUUCAAGAGUGUCGCCCAUGGCCUCAGCUUUUGACAGAUGUUUUAAUAACUAUCUGUACUUCAUCUCUCCAUCCGUACUUCAUGUAUCUUCUAGAAGAAAACUGCUACAUUGGUGUAAGUGGAACGAUGACUUUUGG